AGCGAACGCUGGCGGCAGGCCUAACACAUGCAAGUCGAACGAACUCUUCGGAGUUAGUGGCGGACGGGUGAGUAACACGUGGGAACGUGCCUUUAGGUUCGGAAUAACUCAGGGAAACUUGUGCCAAUACCGAAUGUGCCCUUCGGGGGAAAGAUUUAUCGCCUUUAGAGCGGCCCGCGUCUGAUUAGCUAGUUGGUGAGGUAAAGGCUCACCAAGGCGACGAUCAGUAGCUGGUCUGAGAGGACGAUCAGCCACAUUGGGGCUGAGACACGGCCCAAACUCCUACGGGAGGCAGCAGUGGGGAAUCUUGCGCAAUGAGCGAAAGCCUGACGCAGCCAUGCCGCGUGAAUGAUGAAGGUCUUAGGAUUGUAAAAUUCUUUCACCGGGGAUGAUAAUGACGGUACCCGGAGAAGAAGCCCCGGCUAACUUCGUGCCAGCCGCCGCCGUAAAAC
rnacentral:rRNA from 1 species